ACGGGUGAGUAACGCGUGGAUAACCUGCCUACAUGGACCUGGGACAACACCGGGAAACUGGUGCUAAUACCGGAUACGCUCUUGUAUGCACAUGCAUAUAAGAGGAAAGGAGCAAUCCGGCAUAUAGGAUGGGUCCGCGUCCCAUUAGCUAGUUGGAGGUGUAAGAGACCCCCAAGGCGACGAUGGGUAGCCGGCCUGAGAGGGUGGACGGCCACACUGGAACUGAGACACGGUCCAGACUCCUACGGGAGGCAGCAGUGGGGAAUCUUCCGCAAUGGGCGAAAGCCCUGACGGAGCAACGCCGCGUGAGUGAAGAAGGCCUUCGGGUCGUAAAACUCUGUCUUCAGGGAAGAAAAAAUGACGGUACCUGAGGAGGAAGCCCCGGCUAACUACGUGCCAGCCGCUGC
rnacentral:rRNA from 1 species